CCUAACACAUGCAAGUCGAGGGGUAACAGGGAAAAGCUUGCUUUUCCGCUGACGACCGGCGCACGGGUGCGGAACGCGUAUCGAACCUGCCCCCUUCAGGGGAAUAGCCCAUGGAAACGUGGAUUAAUGCCCCAUGGCACCCGAUUACCACCUGGUAUUCGGGUUAAAGAUUUAUCGGAAGGGGAUGGCGAUGCGUGCCAUUAGCUGGUUGGUAAGGUAACGGCUUACCAAGGCGACGAUGGCUAGGGGCCCUGAGAGGGGGAUCCCCCACACUGGUACUGAGACACGGACCAGACUCCUACGGGAGGCAGCAGUGAGGAAUAUUGGACAAUGGUGGGAACACUGAUCCAGCCAUGCCGCGUGCAGGAUGACGGCCCUAUGGGUUGUAAACUGCUUUUAUACGGGAAGAAACCUGUCCAUGCGUGGACAGCUGACGGUACCGUAAGAAUAAGGACCGGCUAACUCCGUGCCAGCAGCCGCGGUAAUACGGAGGGUCCGAGCGUUAUCCGGAAUCAUUGGGUUUAAAGGGUCCGUAGGUGGGCCAUUAAGUCAGGGGUGAAAGUCUGCGGCUCAACCGUAGAAUUGCCUUUGAUACUGGUGGUCUUGAGUCGUUGUGGGGUUGCCGGAACAUGUGGUGUAGCGGUGAAAUG
rnacentral:rRNA from 1 species